rnacentral:rRNA from 1 species
AUGGCGCUGGUCUCCUCCUCCUCCGCCACCGCCGUCGCGGCGCUCCCCAGCAAUGGGCUGGCCGGCGCCCGGAGCUCCUUCCUUGGCGCUGCCGGCAAGGCGGCGGGGUCGCGCGCGUCGUUCGCCGUGCGCGCCGCGGCGCCCGAGAGGCCCAUCUGGUUCCCCGGGAGCACCCCUCCGCCGUGGCUCGACGGCAGCCUUCCCGGAGACUUCGGCUUUGACCCCUGGGGUCUUGGAUCCGACCCGGAGAGCUUGCGGUGGAACGUGCAGGCGGAGCUGGUGCACUGCCGGUGGGCGAUGCUGGGCGCGGCGGGCAUCUUCAUCCCGGAGCUCCUGACCAAGAUCGGCAUCCUCAACACGCCGUCGUGGUACACCGCCGGGGAGCAGGAGUACUUCACCGACACCACCACCCUCUUCAUCGUGGAGCUCAUCCUCAUCGGCUGGGCCGAGGGCCGCCGGUGGGCAGACAUCAUCAAGCCCGGCUGCGUCAACACCGACCCCAUCUUCCCCAACAACAAGCUCACCGGCACCGACGUCGGGUACCCCGGUGGUCUGUGGUUUGACCCGCUCGGCUACGGCACCGGCUCGCCCGAGAAGCUCAAGGAGCUCCGCACCAAGGAGAUCAAGAAUGGCCGCCUCGCCAUGCUCGCCGUCAUGGGCGCGUGGUUCCAGGCCGAGUACACCGGCACCGGCCCCAUCGACAAUCUCUUCGCUCACCUCGCCGACCCCGGCCACGCCACCAUCUUCCGGGCCUUCGCCCCCAAGUAA